GCCAUGCAUGUCUAAGUACAAGCUUGUAUCAAGCGAAACUGCGGAUGGCUCAUUAAAUCAGUCAUGGUUCCUUGGAACGAGUUUCCCUACAUGGAUAACUGUGGUAAUUCUAGAGCUAAUACAUGCCACCAAGCGCCGACCUUACGGAAGGCGUGCUUUUAUUAGGAACAAGAUCAACCCGGCUCGUCCGGCUUCGUUGGUGAACUCUGGAUAACUUAGCAGAUCGCACGGUCAUCGUACCGGCGACAGAUCCUUCAAACGUCUGCCCUAUCAACUUUCGAUGGUACGUUAUGCGCCUACCAUGGUCGUAACGGGUAACGGAGAAUCAGGGUUCGAUUCCGGAGAGGGAGCCUGAGAAAUGGCUACCACAU
rnacentral:rRNA from 3 species